rnacentral:snRNA from 1 species
UCACUCUGGUUUCUCUGCAUUCGCAUAAAUCUUUCGCCUUUUACUAAAGAUUUCCGUGCAGAGGAACAAUUUAAUGAGUCUAUAGACUAAUUUUUUGCUGCCCAAUCGAAAGAUUGGGCU